UGAGGGAUAUUGCACAAUGGGCGAAAGCCUGAUGCAGCAACGCCGCGUGAGGGAAGACGGUUUUCGGAUUGUAAACCUCUGUCUUUGGUGACGAAGAAAGUGACGGUAGCCAAGGAGGAAGCCACGGCUAACUACGUGCCAGCAGCCGCGGUAAUACGUAGGUGGCAAGCGUUGUCCGGAAUUACUGGGUGUAAAGGGAGCGCAGGCGGGUCAGCAAGUUGGAUGUGAAAUACCGGGGCUUAACCCCGGGGCUGCAUCCAAAACUGUUGGUCUUGAGUGAAGCAGAGGCAGGCGGAAUUCCGAGUGUAGCGGUGAAAUGCGUAGAUAUUCGGAGGAACACCAGUGGCGAAGGCGGCCUGCUGGGCUUUAACUGACGCUGAGGCUCGAAAGUGUGGGGAGCAAACAGG
rnacentral:rRNA from 2 species